GUGAAUUUAAUAUGUUAUCGUCCAUUUCAAUAACAAAUUUCCUAAAAAACAGUCGUCUUCAACAUGAAUGCCAAUGGAAUUUGAAGUGCACUAUAUAUGCUGUGAGCCUAGGGUUAGUUUGAUUCGAUUAUAAACCAAAUUAAUUAUGAGGAUGAUUAUAGUGACCAAGUAGUAUUAUUAGUUGUCCAAGGAUCGAAAGACAGUUGCACUUUUUCACACUCGAGGAGGGAGGAGGGAGGAGGGAGGAGGGAGGGCUAAAGCAUAUAAAAGCAUCUCCAGGGAGAAUUGUCUCCUAAAAGAAAAAGGGGCUAAACAUUUUGUAAAAGUUUGUAAAGUUUGGCACAACUUCUAAAAAAAACCGAAAAAUAAUGAAUAAUAAAAGUAGACCGACUGUAUAAAAUAAAAGAGUGAGGGAGAUUUUAGAAAUACAAAAAAGAAGCUAAAUAAUAAUGUUUUAUUUUGGUGGGUUUAUAAAGUUUAAUAACUGUUAAUGUUUAUAAAAGUGUGGAAAUGAAUGAUUAAUUAUUGGUGGAGGUGGAGCCCAGGGCGCCAAGGAAACAAAUAAAAGGGGAACAGAGCCAAGUUGUCCUGUGUCCACUUGCCUUUACCACAAUCAUUCCAAACCUGACAUCACCCGUGACAUCAGUUUUCCGACAAGGCCCGAGCGAUCCAGCAAACUGCACCCUCCACUUGGCAACAUCUCCACCGUCUAAAGCGCCCAAAAGAUUCUAGACCAAUACCAUAUAUCUUCUCAGACAGGAGCUGAUUUGGCCUUCUUCCAAAGUUACACGUUUUCUAUCUAGCGUUCCUCUUAAAUUUGCACCCUCUUCACCAGCAUAUUAUAACUAAGAAGGAUCGAGAAAGCUACAGCCCAUUCUAAACCAGCAAACAAAGAAAAAGAGAGAAAAACCCUUAGAAGAAGAAGAAGAAGAAGAAGAAGAAGAAGAAGGAAAGAGCAGCACGAUGAGUACCGUGACUCAUGAAGGGCAGCAUCAGAAAUAUAGCUUGAUAAAUUUUGAAGAGACUGAACUGCGCCUGGGGUUGCCUGGUGGAAUAGCUAAUCCUGGAAAGGAUGGAGAAGCUGCCAAGAACAAUGGGAAGAGAGGUUUCUCAGAAACUGUUGAUUUAAAGCUCAAUAUCUCAUCUCAAGAUGAGACAGCUGAUGAGGAUGAUCAAGAUCAACAACUACUGGAGUUGAAGAAGGAAAAGAAUGCUGCUGCACCUGCUCCCGGGGCAAAUGACCCAUCUAAACCCCCUGCUUCCAAGUAAGUGAUAUAAUUUUUCUUCUUCUUCUUAGAUUUCAUUUUAAGCACAAAGUUAUGAAGCAAUUACAACUCAGAAAAGUAGAGUCUAACCCAACACAACUAGGGUUUUAGUUUGGGGAAGGAGGAUUUCAACAGACGACUUGGAGUGCAGAAUAAUUCUUCUUAACCACUUAAUCCACAAGACUUUCGCGGUUUUUAGUUUAGAAAAAUAAUUGAUGUAGAAGAGUAUGGACUGCGUAGGUUGUAUUAUUAUGUAUUACGUAUUGAAUUGGGUGUUUUGGAAUGCUUCGGUUGGUUGUCGGAUGACCAAGGAAACGAACAAAACAUAUGGAAUCUUAUUUGCUUUUUUUUCUCAACCACAACCACCAAACAAGAAUUAAGGACAGCUCAUCAAAAAGUAGAACAAGGUUCUGACUCAUACGUAACGUUACACUAAUAUUACAGGGC
rnacentral:lncRNA from 1 species